UACGGGGGGGGCAAGCGUUGUUCGGAAUUACUGGGCGUAAAGCGCUCGUAGGCGGCCAACUAAGUCAGACGUGAAAUCCCUCGGCUUAACCGGGGAACUGCGUCUGAUACUGGAUGGCUUGAGUUUGGGAGAGGGACGCGGAAUUCCAGGUGUAGCGGUGAAAUGCGUAGAUAUCAGGAAGAACACCAAUGGCGAAGGCAGCUCUCUGGGACGGUACUGACGCUGAGACGCGAAAGCGUGGGGAGCGAACAGG
rnacentral:rRNA from 1 species